GAUAAAAAUGACGGGAUAGUAAUAUUAAAUCCAUUGAUGAUUAAGACAAAAAAGAUCCUGAAAUCGGAGUGAAGGCAACAACAACCUAAAAACACCAGAUGCACACUGAACUGUGGAACUUGUGUCCAAAGAAUUUGGGAUAUAAGUCCAUGUCUGCUUGGUUGAAUUAAAUGAGACCAGGAUUCCAACAAAAUUACGAGAGUUGGAAAAGAAUAUAACUAACACUGACAAGUGACAGCUAAUUGGAGUUGCACACAUUAUCCUGUGGAAAGUUUGAUUUCUUGGUGGAGACCCAACCAUUUGUGAAGAGUUCAGGAGACUUCCAAGAUGACUUUGCUGUUGUUCAUCAAAUAAUUUCUGCUGACAAAUUCCAUUCCGAACCUCAAGAAUGUGUUAGCCCUAUAUUAGGAACACAUUGUCAAGUUAGCUAUCAACCCCAUCUCUUUCUCAAGACUUUUGUUUAAUCAUAAUAUAUGUAGUUUAAAAAUUUCUUAUUAUUACUUUUAUAAAUGUUAUACAGUAGGAGAUGACCACCAGAAUACAUCUAUAAAUUUUUAAGCAGUGUGGAUUUUUCUGUUAUCCAUGUAUCCAAUAUUACUUUGCUGUAUAAUAAUUCAAACUAUAAGAUUUUAUUGUUUUGCUUUCAUACUAGAAUUUACAAGUGUAAUUAACCACAGUAGGAUGAC